rnacentral:sRNA from 1 species
UGCUUCAUAUGAUACCAGCAGGUGGGAA